rnacentral:rRNA from 1 species
ACGAACGCUGGCGGCGUGCUUAACACACGCAAGUCGAACGCUGAAGCCUGCUUCGGUGGGUGGAUGAGUGGCGUACGGGUGAGUAACACGUGGGUAAUCUGUCUUGCACUCGGGGAUAACCUUGGGAAACUGGGGCUAAUACCGGAUGGUCACAUGGCAUCGCAUGGUGGUGUGUGGAAAGCGUUUAAUGUGGUGCAGGGUGUGCCCGCGGCCUAUCAGCUUGUUGGUGGGUAAGGGCCUACCAAGGCGACGACGGGUAGCCGGCCUGAGAGGGCGAUCGGCCACACUGGGACUGAGACACGGCCCAGACUCCUACGGGAGGCAGCAGUGGGGAAUUUUGCGCAAUGGGCGGAAGCCUGACGCAGCCGACGCCGCGUGGGGGAGGACGGCCUUCGGGUUGUAAACCUCUUUCGGUUCUGACGAAGCUCUGCGUGUUCGUGGGGUGACGGUAGGGACAGAAGAAGCACCGGCUAACUACGUGCCAGCAGCUGC